rnacentral:lncRNA from 1 species
ACCCGGAACCUUGCUUGGAAUCUUUGUUGCAAUACAAAAAAAAAAUCCUAAUGUCAGUCAUUUCACCUUACUUCUCUGUUUGAACUUUGAAAUAAGCUUCCUCUUGACAAAUUAGUUUUUUUAAUUUUCCAAUUCUCUACUAUAAUGGAUGUAAUUCAGCAGAGGUUGGGUUCCUUUCUAGGGCAUCUAUACUGAGUUCUAAGUCAGAUCCAGAAGCUUAGACCUGUUUGGUGGAGUUUCCCUAAUUGGCU